UACGUAGGGUGCGAGCGUUGUCCGGAAUUAUUGGGCGUAAAGGGCUCGUAGGCGGUCUGUCGCGUCGGCUGUGAAAACUCGGGGCUCAACCCCGAGCCUGCAGUCGAUACGGGCAGACUAGAGUGCUGUAGGGGAGACUGGAAUUCCUGGUGUAGCGGUGAAAUGCGCAGAUAUCAGGAGGAACACCGGUGGCGAAGGCGGGUCUCUGGGCCGAUACUGACGCUGAGGAGCGAAAGCGUGGGGAGCGAACAGGAUUAGAACUACCCGUG
rnacentral:rRNA from 1 species